GUGGGUGGUGGGGAGCGGCUUAGGCUAAUCCACAUACCUAUUCUGAACCGCGAAGCUUCUCGGACAUGUUUGUUCCCUCAUCAAUUUUAUGCUUCUUCUUGUUUCUUUUCAGAUUUGUUCCUCUUAGAGAGCUCAUCCGUCGCGUUUGGAUGGUGUCUCAUCUUCAUUUCCUGGGCUCCUAAAGGGAUUACGAUAGAAUAUAUAUGUUCCUAUGUUGAAGGGAUUUAGGAUUAUCUUGUUGUUCCUUUUCUUAGUUAGUUUACCGCAUCCUCUUUGUAUAUAUACCAACAUUGGUUGAUGAAUAAACACACACUUUACCUUAUAUUUUAUGGUAUCAGAGCUAAAGAUCUCAUGACCUAAAUUUUUUUCCGAUCUCUACUAUUGAUCUUAUUCCUUACUACUUCUACUAAUCUGAUUCAUCAAUCAUAAUGUCGGAUC
rnacentral:lncRNA from 1 species